GACGAACGCUGGCGGCGUGCUUAACACAUGCAAGUCGAACGCUGAAGCUCAGCUUUUGUUGGGUGGAUGAGUGGCGAACGGGUGAGUAACACGUGAGUAACCUGCCCCCUUCUUUGGGAUAACGUCCGGAAACGGGUGCUAAUACUGGAUAUUCACUGGUCUUCGCAUGGGGGUUGGUGGAAAGGGUUUUUCUGGUGGGGGAUGGGCUCGCGGCCUAUCAGCUUGUUGGUGGGGUGAUGGCCUACCAAGGCUUUGACGGGUAGCCGGCCUGAGAGGGUGACCGGGAACAUUGGGACGGAGAAACGGCCCAGAGUCCUACGGGAGGCAGCAGUGGGGAAUAUUGCACAAUGGGCGAAAGCCUGAUGCAGCGACGCCGCGUGAGGGAUGGAGGCCUUCGGGUUGUGAACCUCUUUCGCUCAUGGUCAAGCCGCAACAAUGGUUGUGGUGAGGGUAGUGGGUAAAGAAGCGCCGGCUAACUACGUG
rnacentral:rRNA from 1 species